UAGUGGGGGACUGCGUUCGCGCU
rnacentral:piRNA from 3 species